rnacentral:misc_RNA from 1 species
AAAAUGGCUCUUUGCAUUGCACAAUUUGAUGACCAAAACACAAAAAUCAUCAAUUGUAAAUUUUACAAGAGAAAGAAAAGAAAACAAAGUUCCGUAUACAUGAUUGAGUUCUAGCCAUUUUAAGCAGACUUAACCCUUGUAUUAUUACUCGAUGAUGAACUCCUACCCCUGAAUCCAACAACAUUUAGUUUCUUUGUGGAGACACUGGAGCUUCGGCUAUCUACUCGUCUCUUUCCUGUUGAACUGCUGGUCUUUUUGGACACUUUCAUAGCUAUCUUUGGUUUUGACUUAGCUGGUACUUUACCAAACUUGGUUCCUGGGGAUCUUUUAGAAUCGGUAGUCUUUGGAGAUCUUUUUGAAUCGGUAGUCUUUGCAGACCUUUUUGAAUCGAUAGUCUUCCUUGUAACACUAGAGGAUUUGCCUGUGGAAGCUGUAGCCUUGCCUCUUGAAUUUGAAACUUUCACCGACUUUUCACGCUUGUCCUUCUGUUCAGUAAUGCGAGACCUGGCAUUGUCUCUUUUGAUACCGUCUACCGAGAGAGACUCCAAGCUCUCAUUCUUCUUUAUGGCUUCCUCAAUGCAAUUGGCCAAAAGUAAGUCCUUUUUGGCAAUUAAACUUGUUACUUUCCCUUUGGCACCCAUACGAGCAGUCCUUCCCGUGCGAUGGAGAUAGUCAAUAGAAUUCUUAGGGAAAUCAAACAUGAUGACAUGAUCCACAUCCAAGUCCAGUCCUCUAGCAGCCAAGUCUGUGCAGACUAAAGUAGGACAAUCUCCUUCAUUGCUCUUAAACUUUGCAAGGUUUUCAACCCUCUGCUCUGCUGGAACUUCCCCAUGGUAGUUUACAGUAGAAAUUUGGGUUUCAUUGAGAAAGUGAUCCACAGCACGACUAGAAUUCAAUGUGUUACAGAAUACCAUCACCCUGUUUCCCUUUGCUAAACUUGGCUCAAGAACCUGCCUUCACCAGAACAUACUGAUUUAAUUUCUGUGAUUUUGCAAGUAUGCUUAACCGAUAGCAAUUCAACCUUUCUAAAAUUUACCUGACAUAUCUCUUCUGGCAAACAACCUAAAGUAAAACAAUCAAAGCAAUAAUUGGCCAGAUCUUGCUAAAUUUUGCAACUAAACCAGCGGACGGAGAAUGAGGCUAGUUCAAUCCUCAAACUCAUCAAAUUCAAAAAUCAACAAAGGCUACAAGUUCUCAAGAACCUCUAUUACAAGGCCAUCCACAUAUAAACCAGAAUGAUCUAAAACACUAAACCAACCUCAACAAUGAUUACUUUGCAACUGUUGCUUAGGUUGCUUGACCAAGAGUCAUUUUACAGAAACCAAAAGGUUCUCAUCAAGUUUUGUUCACAAUUCUUAUCUCAGUAUGAGUGGAAGAAUGUUGGAAAAUUUUAAUAUCUUUCAUAGAUUGUGGACUCUUUUUGGUUUACAAAAAAGAAAUUGCUGAAAAUAUAUCCUAAAGGAUCUACAUAAGGGGUCUGUUUGUCACAAAUUUUUUGCACGUUUUGUCUCUAGAUGCUGAAAUCCAUAUGUACUUAUGUAGGCCUGUAACCUGUUAACCUAACUGACUUUUGUAGUAGGACUGUACUAGAG